GGUUCGAUGGCGUAAUUGGUUAUCGCAUCUGUCUAACAUCCAGAGCCUCACCAAUGUUUCACAGAAGGUCCCCGGUUCGAGCCCGGGUCGAAUCA